AUUGAACGCUGGCGGCAGGCCUAACACAUGCAAGUCGAACGGUAACAGGAAGCAGCUUGCUGCUUUGCUGACGAGUGGCGGGCGGGUGAGUAAUGUCUGGGAAACUGCCCGAUGGAGGGGGAUAACUACUGGAAACGGUAGCUAAUACCGCAUAACGUCGCAAGACCAAAGAGGGGGACCUUAGGGCCUCUUGCCAUCGGAUGUGCCCCGAUGGGAUUAGCUAGUAGGUGGGGUAACGGCUCACCUAGGCGACGAUCCCUAGCUGGUCUGAGAGGAUGACCAGCCACACUGGAACUGAGACACGGUCCAGACUCCUACGGGAGGCAGCAGUGGGGAAUAUUGCACAAUGGGCGCAAGCCUGAUGCAGCCAUGCCGCGUGUAUGAAGAAGGCCUUCGGGUUGUAAAGUACUUUCAGCGGGGAGGAAGGGAGUAAAGUUAAUACCUUUGCUCAUUGACGUUACCCGCAGAAGAAGCACCGGCUAACUACGUG
rnacentral:rRNA from 1 species